rnacentral:rRNA from 2 species
GUGAGAACCCUUAAGGGUGCAUCAUCGACCGAUCCUGAUGUCUUCGGAUGGAUUUGAGUAAGAGCAUAAUUUUUGGGACCCGAAAGAUGAUGAACUAUGCCUAGAUAGGGUGAAGCCAGAGGAAACUCUGGUGGAGGCUCGCAGCGGUUCUGACGUAGAGAAAAACCAUGGCGCCGGGCAGGCAGCUGCCCGGGCGGUUUGUGCGUCUUAGAGCGAGCGCUCCGGCGCUCGCUAGUGGGUUGGGCCUUCGCGCCGCGACCUGCGACACUGCCACUUUGUGGGAAAACCGGGCCUUGGCUCGGCGAUCCGCAGCCCCUACCCGGGGUUCAGAGACUAGACGGCAGUGGGCGCGCUCCCACGGGGCGUGCUUGAGGUAUAGUCCGUCCCUAUCCGCGAGGAUAGGGAUCGAUACGGCAAAUCGAUCGUCAAAUCUGGGUAUAGGGGCGAAAGACUAAUCGAAUCAUGAGACUUAGCUUCUAGGUGGUUGGGAGGUUCUAACGGACCUAGUCGCGCACCGCGGCGAUACUGCAAAAUUGCGGGGACCGCUCGAUAGGCGGCAGGCUACCGCGCGGGAAACCGCGCUGCACGGUCACAACGCCUGCGCCUGAGCCGAUCCGCAGUCGCUGCCCUACGGCCCCAGGCCACGGGCGGGG